UGGGGAAUAUUGCACAAUGGGCGCAAGCCUGAUGCAGCCAUGCCGCGUGUGUGAAGAAGGCCUUCGGGUUGUAAAGCACUUUCAGCGAGGAGGAAGGUGGUGAGCUUAAUACGCUCAUCAAUUGACGUUACUCGCAGAAGAAGCACCGGCUAACUCCGUGCCAGCAGCCGCGGUAAUACGGAGGGUGCAAGCGUUAAUCGGAAUUACUGGGCGUAAAGCGCACGCAGGCGGUUUGUUAAGUCAGAUGUGAAAUCCCCGGGCUCAACCUGGGAACUGCAUUUGAAACUGGCAAGCUAGAGUCUCGUAGAGGGGGGUAGAAUUCCAGGUGUAGCGGUGAAAUGCGUAGAGAUCUGGAGGAAUACCGGUGGCGAAGGCGGCCCCCUGGACGAAGACUGACGCUCAGGUGCGAAAGCGUGGGGCAGCAAACAGGAUUAGAUACCCUGGUAGUCCACGCUGUAAAACGAUGUCGAUUUUGGAGGUUGUGCCCUUGAGGCGUGGCUUCCGGAGCUAACGCGUUAAAUCGACCGCCUGGGGAGUACGGCCGCAAGGUUAAAACUCAAAUGAAUUGACGGGGUCAUAGCUGUUCCU
rnacentral:rRNA from 1 species